GCGGCGCUGGUCGCGGAGCCGUACGACGCCAUUGGCUGGGAGCUGCUGGCGAUGGCCGGCUCCGUCGCAGGGCUGGCGUUCCUCGCCAACGGCGUG
rnacentral:tRNA from 1 species